rnacentral:lncRNA from 1 species
UGAGUAUGAGUCGCCGAUGUUGGUGACGCGGAAUAAUGGUGUUUGUGUGUGUGCGUGGCCUAUUAGGUCGAGAGGUGGAGAUAUGGAUAUGAGUCGCCGAUAUUGGUGACGUGGAAUGAAGGUGGUUGUGUGUGUGUGUGUGUGGCCUCAUGAGGUCGGGAGAUGGGGGAAGAGCGUAUGAGUCGCCGAUGUUGGUGACGGGAGUUAAUGGAUGAUUGUUGGGUGGGUGUGGUUGCUUGGCCGUGCUAUUUCCUUGGAAUAGGACCUUGAUGAUUGGUGUAGGGAGGGGGUUAUGAGUUGUGUUGGGUCGGGUAGGAUAAAUGCAUAUAGACAUUUCUGGAAAUUCUUGUCACUGUAUAUUGCACUUACAACUUGAUUUUUAUCGUAUUGAGUUAUGUGAUCUCACUUCUCAUCAUUCACAGGUGGAGUAAGAACGGAAUUGGGAUCUGAGCGGCUGGUAACGGAGCCCCGUCGGUAGUGCCAUAGGGCACAAGUUUUGUUUGUGAUUUAAAGUAGUUUGAAAGGAUGGUUUAGUCUGGAUAUUGAACAUCUAGAAAUGUUUGAUAUUGUGUUACUAUGUGUUGUAGAGGUGGAGAUGUAUGUACAAUUGAUUUGGAACAAUGAAGGUGGACAAGUUUCUCUUGUGCAUGGUUGGAAUAAUAUGGGAUUUCGGUAUUGUGUUGUAUGAGUGCUUUAUCGUAUACCAUUAGAAAAAAAUAAAAAAAAUGGGGUGUUACAACGUGAAACACGUUGUGAACUCGGGAGAGCUCGGGAGGCAGUGCUAGUCUGUAAGCAGCGGUACCAAUCUUGUCUAAGAUUUCGAAGGGUCCAAUAUAUCGAGGGUUUAAUUUUCCCCUCCUGCCGAACCUACUAAUUCCCUUGAAAGGAGUGACCUUAAGAAACACUCGGUCGCCUUUUUCAAACGCUAGAUCUCUCCUCCGGGUGUCUGCAUAACUCUUCUGUCUACUCUGGGCUGUCUGAAUGUUCUUUCUGAUUUUAGCUAUCUUCGAAGUGGUCUCCUCUACCAACUCCGGACCGAACAAUCUUCUGUCGCCCACUUCCUCCCAACAAAUC